AUGGCAAUCCCCAAAUCUUCUUCCCAAAAGGGCCAUGCCAGCCCAUUUCGGUGGUGGCGUAUGCCUAUUUCUUUGUCAUGCCAGCCCAUGAGGUACCUGCUUCAGUGUGAGUUCAGUCAGCCAAGUCACAAGUCACCAGUAGUCUCUGCAGGAGCAGGCGCCGUCCUGGAACCUGUGGAACCGGUUGGCGUCCCUGACAACCAUCGCCCGCCCCACCACCCGCGACAGCCCCUUGAAGAACUCGUGGCAGUCGCCGCACACCCGAAGGUUCUUGUACACCCUGAUCACCUCCCUCCUCCCCCCCUCCUCCUCCUCUUCCUUCCCACCGUCGCCAUCGUGGCGCUCACCGUGGUGCAGCAGCCACAGCCCCACGGCCAGCCGCUCGCUAUGCGCCCGCAGGCCCUCGGCGCGCGACUCCUCGUCCACGUCGUGCAGCGCCGCCGCGUGCGCCGACGACCCAGCACUGUACCCGAGCCGCUCCCUCAUCCUGCUCUCCAUGCCGCGGAGCACGCGGCGGAUGUCGGCGGCGCGCGGGUGGGUGGCGUCGCCGCCGCCGUAGAAGAAGUGCGCCUCCUUGCCGACCUCCACCCAGCUGCACCCACCCUGCUUCCGCAGGCCCCGGCGCCGCAUGGCGUCGCGCACCUGCUGGUGCUCGUGCCACUCGCCGGCCUCCGCAAAGAUGUUCGACAGCAUCACGUAGUUGGCCGGGUUGUCGCCGUCCAUGGCCAGGAGGGCCUCGCCCGCCUCCCUGGCUAG
rnacentral:rRNA from 1 species